CCCCCACCGCCCCCAUGUCUCUGCUGGGACUGACCUGUGCCUCCUGGGAUGACCCCCACCAUCCACCCCUAGGGUAGCGUGGGGCCCUGCAUGAAGUGCCUGUGACGGGAGAUGGAAGAACCCUGUCUUACGUCCGUGAGAGUGAAAGGAACCUCAAGCAUUCAACGAAACCAAAUCGGUACCCAAGAUAGAUGAAGACAUCAGGAAUUUACCAGGUCAUAGAGGCUUCUUGGCAGCCACCUGCAGGAGACGGAUAACACCAUGGCCAGGGCCCCCAUGCUCCAUACCGUGCCUGUGACCUCCACAG
rnacentral:lncRNA from 1 species